UAUAUGUAAUUGACUGGGGUGUAUCCAAAACUAUAUGAAUACAUAUGUAUAGGUUUGACUUUGCUUCCGAAGCUUCUGGUCCCUUGGUCAAGUGAGUGAGUUGUGACCACUAGCUAGCGUUUAGACUAGGAGAAAAUGAGGCUCCCUUCACACGGCGAGAGAGACGCCCUUUGCAUUUCAUGGCAGUAUUUAUAAAUAGACAAUUUAAAGCAAGAAAUUUCGUCCCAAAUUCAUCGAUGGGAAUGCUUGAAAAUCAGAUGGGUCUGUUUUCCAAUUUCCGUAUUAUCUUCUUUAUUGUAUUGAUUGCUUCUUUGCUAAUCAUGCAAUCAAAUCUGGUUAAUGCACGAGAUCCACCAGCCCAAUCAAAAAGCCCACCCACUCCCAGCAGAGCAACGCAGUCAGGAAAAAAUGGUUGAUUUGAUCCAUCUUUUUCCUUAGUCAAAAAAAAAAAAAAAAAAAAAAGGUUCUGCCACCUUGUUAGUUUCUUAUUUGUUUUUCAGUGUGGAAAAUAUAUUUGUAUGAUCGGCUAGGAAAUCAAAAAUAUAUUUCUUUUAUAUUAUUUUGCUCCUGGUUUCAUAGCCAAUACAUGUGCUUUUUAGCUUAUUAACAAGCCAAAGUGUAAUAAAUAGAUAGUGUAGUGUGUAUCAUUUGAAGUAUCAUAUAUUCUAUCUUUUGAUUGGUUAAUGAAA